rnacentral:rRNA from 1 species
UACGUAGGGUGCAAGCGCUGUCCGGAAUUAUUGGGCGUAAAGAGCUCGUAGGCGGUCUGUUGCGUCGGCUGUGAAAACCCGGGGCUCAACCCCGGGCCUGCAGCCGAUACGGGCAGACUAGAGUUCGGCAGGGGAGACUGGAAUUCCUGGUGUAGCGGUGAAAUGCGCAGAUAUCAGGAGGAACACCAAUGGCGAAGGCAGAUCUCUGGGCCGUAACUGACGCUGAGGAGCGAAAGCAUGGGGAGCGAACAGG